UGGUUCUGGCAUCGAUGAAGAACGCAGCAAAAUGCGAUAAGUAAUGUGAAUUGCAGAAUUCAGUGAAUCAUCGAAUCUUUGAACGCACAUUGCGCCCGCCAGUAUUCUGGCGGGCAUGCCUGUUCGAGCGUCAUUUCAACCCUCAAGCACAGCUUGGUGUUGGAGUCGGCAUCUCUCACGAGUUGCCGCUCCCAAAUCUAUUGGCGGUCACGUCGAGCUUCCAUAGCGUAGUAAUUACACCUCGUUACUGGUAAUCGUCGCGGCCACGCCGUUAAACCCCAACUUCUGAAUGUUGACCUCGGAUCAGGUAGGAAUACCCGCUGA
rnacentral:misc_RNA from 1 species